CAAUUGCAUACACAAAUUCAUUUAUUCAAUGUUCACCGAUUCCUAAAAUGAUUAGAUUCGCGUUCACUAUAACUAAUCCUUUAGCAAACAAGUCAAUUCAAACAGUGAUCAGUUGAUUAAACUAACAUGCUUCCUAGUAUUCAGUUCGUAUCAAGCAAGACUUGUAAAUAUAGUUAAUCAAUGUAGACAUUUAAUUAACCUCUUGUUGAUGGUCAUCUAACAAGGCUCACACAUUAACUUACUUAUUCUCAAAUUAAUCCUAGUUUCACAUUCGUUAUUUGUAGUCUUAUAAUCUCGAUGGUCAUCAAAAAUCAUAAGAGACAAGCAAAUCAAGCGGAUGUUCAAGCAACUCAAUUCACUUAACAAUUAACAGAAAAUAAUCAUCAUUAACACAUGAGGAUCUUUAAACAAGCUUGGCAAGAUAAAUUAAACACAAAUAAACUAUUUAAUAUAGCAAUUAGUCUAAUAAUCAAAGCUUCAUUCAAUCAUAAACACAAAGUAAAAGGUUUUUACACCUAAAUCAGAAACUAAAUACAGAAAAGUACCACCAUAGAAUGCUAAACAUGGUCACGUCAGCAAACCAUAUGAUAAUCAACAUGUAUCCGCUCUCCAAUCCUUCCGAUCUCCGCUCCCGUUAGCUUAACGGCCUUCCGGCCGCCUUCUAGACCCUCAAAACGGCUUAACAGAAGUUAAUUGUCGACUAAAUUAGGUUAGAAGUCGAAUCCCCCCUCCUGGUUAGCUAAAAAUCGAUAUUUAUAAUCUUUGUGGCCGACCUAAGUACGCUGGGCGUACUUAGGAUUACGCAGCGCGUACUCAAGAUAAUCACGCGAUCAAGUAUAUCUGGCACAAGCAGGUACGCGGGGCGUAACCUUAAGGUACGCGGGGCGUACUCGCUACCUCAGCAUUCUUUUCUUUCUUUUAGCUUCUAAGCCCGGUUUCCGCUUCAGUCUUUUCUUUUGUGCUUUAUCGACAACAAAUAGCUGCAAAACAUAAUUCAAAGUAUUAUGAGUACUUUUUAGUUCUAAAAUAGAAUAAAUAAGGCCAAAAUAUUAAGAUAAAGUGUAUAAAAAUAUAUAUAAAAAUACACAUAUCAAAAUACCCCACACUUAGCCUUUGCUUGCCCCCAAGCAAAUUUACUUUUAUUUUACCAAUAUCGCACUAAACAAUCCAUUUAAAACUCAGCCAUUAUGCCAAGACCUCAACGCGUACAUUUGUGUCUAAUAUUUUCCUAAAGUACCCCCCCAUAUUUUAAAUACUCACAAUCUUCAUAAACACUCGCCCACUUUUUCCGAACAAUGCUCAUUUUAUGCAACCCUCCGAAUCCAUCCGCAGAAAACCUCCUAACCUCAAGGUAUUUUUAGUUGAGCAACCUAAGCAUACAUAAUCUAGAAUUACAAUUUAUGAUACCACUAUGGAGCUCUUUUGGAAUUCUUCACUUUCUUUGGCAUUUUGAACUUUGAUUUCUUUGAAUUCACCACCUUAUUUGAAUUGAUUUCUGGUAUCUCCAACUUUUUUGGAUUUCUUCAGAAUUUUGAUCUUUUGAUCUUCACUUUAUUUGCUCCAAAAUUCUUCAAACUUUUUUCGUAAUUCUCUUAUCUUUUUUUUUCACAUAAAUCCCUACAUGCUUAAGCAAAGGCGCUCAACCUCAACCUUUAUUGGUUAAUGAUAAUAAUUUUCAUGGAUACAUUUCAGGUUUAGGCUGCUAAACAUAUUGCAUCCCUCAAACCAAGCGGGGUUAUGUUUUUGUUCCAUGAUUUCACUAAAAUAAGGGAGGCCACAAAUGCACUAUAACGUAUAUUGGCUCAACUAAACAUUUGAGUUCUCAUCGGAUCAUCUCAUACAAUAUUAGCAAAAAUUUAAAUUAUCACUAGAUUUUUCUAAAUUAAACUAUUAUUUCAAGUUUUUUUAAAAUUUUUAAAUUUUCCAAAUUCUAGCAAUUUCAUUUUUUCUCUUAAUUUUAAUUUACUUUUACCGAUCCCCUACCCCACACUUAUUUCAUACAAUGCCCUCAUUGUAUGCUAAAACAAAUUAAGAACAUAAAAAGGGAGAAAAAGGAACAGACUCCCCUGGGUAGUUGUGGCGAGAUCGAAUGGGGCUGCUACAAGUUGCUCCAAAUAUCGCUGAAAGACUGAAAACUGGAACUGCUGCUUCUGAAUUUGCCGAAAAAUAAAAUCAAGACCGCCAUCUUCGAAAAUGUGGUGCAAAAUAUUGCAAUUAAAUGCAAUGUAUAGUAACCAUGACGUGGGAAAGUGUCGACCACGUCGUCUCGUCAAGAAUGACAUCCUCUUCUCGCGAUGAAAAAUCCCCCAUAACAUAGGAAAGUGUCAACCAUGUCGUGGCAGCCGGGACGAUACUUCUUCCUCGCGUCGAAAUAAAACUCUAUAGUAUGGGAACUGCUCAUCCAUAUCAUAAGAGUCAAAACAUCGUAACAAUGCCAAUCUUCAAAACGAUCGCUCACGAAAUAAAUAUGCACCCCACACUUAUGACAAAUCGUGGGUCUCGACUAUAAUCUUCAACUCUCAUACCGCUCUCUCUAGCAACAGUCGGACCUAGCUGCUGAACUUACUGCCAGCUUCCUAAGGGCGAAAAUUCUGCAGAAAUCUAAACAACCAAAGAGCAUCAACAUGGAAAACAAAAGUAAAACAAACUAAAUCAAAGUUUAAUUACAUACCAAAUACUAAAAACUAAACUAAACUAAAAAUAACACAAAACAAAUAAAACAAAAUAAAAAGGAUCACUCGUCAUCUCCAUCAUCAUGUGGCUGUGUCCCAGAAGUACCGGCCCCAUCAAAUCGUGACUGGAAUGGUGGUGGAAAGGGAACCGAAUACUGAAACCCCUGAUGGGCAAAGAAUGCGUUCAACGCAUUCCCAUACCACUGCUGUUGCAUGUCCACAUGUGCAACAUACUCGCUAAGGCGCUCAAUGCCCUGAGCCAGGUAGCGCAUAUCAAUCUCCCGCUCAGGUCCCUGCUGCGCUCCCCGAGGAGCAGGUCGACGCCGCUGGACCCGUCUCGGCUGUGGCUCGGCAGCACCCUCCUCAUCUGCCUCAUCAUCUGCUCGAACUCUCAAAACACCAUCACCACCCCGCUCUAAUACGCGCAUCGACUCCAAUAGCUGAAGACUCAUCGGCCUCAUGUCGUGAAACACCAUCGAUCUCGUGAUCUCACGUGUCAUCAACUGGUAUGAUCGAGCUAACCGUGUGAUAAAAUGCCCUCCGCAUAUCGGGCUAUCUCCCCUAAGUCCCCUGGCCCUCCGUCCCAAGUAUGCAGCUAAAGCAACUGGAAGGUUCAGGUGCCUCCCUGGAGUAACUAGUGCCCAUAGGAAAUACAGGUCCGUCGAAGGCACUCUCUCACUAUUCUUGUGAUGCGUGAGAGACAUAGAAAUCAACCGGUGCAACAUUCGGUAUGUAGUGGACCGAAUCAUCCCCCCUCGAGCGGUAGAUGGUGUAUAAACUCCUCCCGUAAUCUCGGCCCAAAAUGUGUUCUCAUUAUAGUCCGCUGGCCGUUCCGUGAGACAGUCAGCAAGGAAUGCCAGGAAGUGGACACUCCUCGUCUCGUCGACUGUGUAAAUACCCACCCGAGUAGCAAGCUCUAUCACGCUGCAUUCCCGGCUCACUCCUCCCAGUCUAAAAGCAAAGGUUGUCCUGUCAUCGAGUGCCUUCCUAGGAUCAUAGGAAACUGUAGCGUAGAACUCCAGCAAAAACUCCCGAUACACAGGCUCCUGGAUCCUGAACAAACGCGCCCAUCCCUGACACACAAACAAUUCCACACCACUCGCGUCCGAGUGUGUGUAUUGCAAAAAUUCUUGGAUCAAUGCAUCAAGUCCAGUCCUGGUAGCCAACUCCCAGUCGAAUGAGGGUGCAAUAUCAAUCUCCUUGGUGAGAAGCAAGCUUAAGUUGGUGACAUAACGCGCCCGGGUAGCGUCGUUCAGCGUUUGCGGAAAUUGUAAAAAGCGAUGAUCGGUUACAUCCUCGGGUGGGUUGGUUCUUUGUGUCCUUCGAGCCAUAAUCUGCACAUAUUAACACAAANUCGAGCCAUAAUCUGCACAUAUUAACACAAAAACACAAAACCAACAAAAUAUGGCAGCAUUAAUAGAUUUUUAAACCAAAAAAUGAAGCUGGAUAGGGGAAGUACGCUGGGCGUACAUCCAGCGUACGCUGGGCGUAAGUCCAGGUUCCACAGGUCUGUGUCGGUUCCUUUACUUGUGCAAAAAUCAUAACCCACAUCAAAAUAAACACAGCAGGGGCAACACACAAGUUCAAAUCGAGUGGUCGAUAGGCAUUAAAAAAAACGGGACCACCCUUAAAAUAUGUCCAAUAAUAGGAAUCGAUCCCCAGUUCGUUCUUUGUCUAUUCAAGAUUAGCAACACUGUGUGGGUAUUUAAAAACGAACGGAGAAUAGGGUGUACGCUAGGCGUCCAUCCCCAAGUUCAAAUCGGCGGUCAUGGGACGGAAUUAAUACCAAAUAAGGUCCUAGGGUUUAGUCUAUGGAUCGAAAUCGGUCCAUUUAAGCCAUAAUCAAACACGAAUGUGUGAAAUCGACUCCUAAUUCGAAAAAUACACGAACCCUAGAUUUUAAACAAAGGCAUAAUGCAGCUUAUUUCAUCAAAUUAAACAUAAAUCCGAGCUAUUGAGUAUCCGAAAUACUUACCCGUGUGUCGAAUUUUACAAGAAAAGAAGCACAAUCGAAAAUGUUGAGGAGAGCUCGGCCGUCAUAGUGCAAGUUUGAGAGAAGAAAAAAGAAUAAAGAAGAAGUCAAAGGGUUAAAAGAUAUACCUGGUCGCCGUGUUACGCGGGGCGUACCUCAACCCCCUGAAAUGUUCAUCCGCGAUCAGAUGUUGAAUUACGCUUGGCGUAAUGUAACUUACGCGGGGCGUAAGUUUAAAUGAAAAUUUCCCUUUUUCUUUAAUUUAACUUCCUUUUCUUUUUGAUUAUUUAAUCUUGGGACUUAAAACUUAUUUAUUUUUUUUCUUUUUAAUUUCCUUAGCUAAUGAUGACUUCACGAUGAGUGACAAAAAAAAAUAUAUGAGAUGUCAUAACCACUUAUCUUUGUCGAGAUCAAACGACAAUGGUUGAUCAAACCUUUGCAUGCAAGAAUUGGUUUGCGAAAACACCCACUUUCGGGAACCGUUAGAAUAUUUCCUUUGUUUUCCUUGCACAUUUAACUAAAAGCGGAACAAGAAGUGACCUAACUAGUCAAGAACAGCAAGAGCUCGGUCUUCCACUUAACCACCACAAUACGCCUUGCUAUACUACGCCUCAUGGGUUGAGUUGGACAAAUCAACAAAGUAGUAGGCUAAGCAGGUCAAGAAUUCCCUAGUCGCUUUCAUUCUCGAAACCCAUGCAAAAAGUAAAGUCAAGCAGUGUGUACAAUCCCAAAUUCCUGCAACAUAAAAACAAGAACCCUCCCGACAAGUGAAAUGAUAUCAUCGAAAAUCAAACUAAAAAUAAAAACUAACUAAAAACAAAUAACGAAUAAUCAAAUAAAAUAAAUUAAUGACAAGCCGUUCCCCGGCAACGGCGCCAAAAACUUGAUGUGCACAAAAGUACCCACUAAUUUUAAUAUUUAUAACCUAACAAACUUAGACUAUCUAUGCACUUAUAGGCAGUGUACCUAGUCAGAUUACAGUAUAGCUUAGGUAAGUCGAGUGUCGAUCACAGGGAAUGGUGGAUUAAUUUAAUAUAUUUGAUUAUAGGUUACAGGUCACAUGAAAAUAAUAAAGAAAAUGGUUUAAUAAAUCUCAAACUAACAAUUAAAAACUCUUGAUAAACUAACAGGAAAGCACAUCUCUUCAGGUACUUUGGUCUAGAUAAAUUACACCUUAAAAACAUAGACAAUUGCAUACACAAAUUCAUUUAUUCAAUGUUCACCGAUUCCUAAAAUGAUUAGAUUCGCGUUCACUAUAACUAAUCCUUUAGCAAACAAGUCAAUUCAAACAGUGAUCAGUUGAUUAAACUAACAUGCUUCCUAGUGUUCAGUUCGUAUCAAGCAAGACUUGUAAAUAUAGUUAAUCAAUGUAGACAUUUAAUCAACCUCUUGUUGAUGGUCAUCAAACAAGGCUCACACAUUAACUUACUUAUUCUCAAAUUAAUUCUAGUUUCACAUUCGUUAUUUCUAGUCUUAUAAUCUCGAUGGUCAUCAAAAAUCAUAAGAGACAAGCAAAUCAAGCGGAUGUUCAAGCAACUCAAUUCACUUAACAAUUAACAGAAAAUAAUCAUCAUUAACACAUGAGGAUCUUUAAACAAGCUUAGCAAGAUAAACUAAACACAAAUAAACUAUUUAAUAUAGCAAUUAGUCUAAUAAUCAAAGCUUCAUUCAAUCAUAAACACAAAGUAAAAGGUUUUUACACCCAAAUCAGAAACUAAAUACAGAAAAGUACCACAAUGGAAUGCUAAACAUGGUCACGUUAGCAAUCCAUAUGAUAACCGACAUGUAUCCGCUCUCCAAUCCUUCCGAUCUCCGCUCCCGUUAGCUUAACGGCCUUCCGGCCGCCUUCUAGACCCUCAAAACGGCUUAACAGAAGUUAAUUGUCGACUAAAUUAGGUUAGAAGUCGAAU
rnacentral:lncRNA from 1 species